rnacentral:rRNA from 1 species
CUGGGCGUAAGGGAGCGUAGGUGGAUAUUUAAGUGGGAUGUGAAAUACUCGGGCUUAACUUGAGUGCUGCAUUCCAAACUGGAUAUCUAGAGUGCAGGAGAGGAAAGUAAAAUUCCUAGUGUAGCGGUGAAAUGCGUAAAGAUUAGGAAAAAUACCAUUGGCAAAGGCAACUUUCUGGACUGUAACUGACACUGAGGCUCGAAAGCGUGGGAAGCAAACAGGAUUAAAUACCCUGGUAGUCCACGCCGUAAACAAUGAAUACUAGGUGUGGGGGUUGUCAUGACCUCCGUGCCGCCGCUAACGCAUUAAGUAUUCCGCCUGGGGAGUACGGUCGCAAGAUUAAAACUCAAAGGAAUUGACGGGGGCCCGCACAAGCAGCGGAGCAUGUGGUUUAAUUCGAAGCAACGCGAAGAACCUUACCUAGACUUGACAUCUCCUGAAUUACUCUGAAAUAAAGGAAGCCCUUCCGGGCAAGAAGACAGGUGGUGCAUGGUUGUCGUCAGCUCGUGUCGUGAGAUGUUGGGUUAAGUCCCGCAACGAGCGCAACCCUUAUUGUUAGUUGCUACCAUUAAGUUGAGCACUCUACCCAGACUGCACGGGUUAACCGGGAGGAAAGUGGGGAUGACAU